UACGUAGGGGGCAAGCGUUGUCCGGAAUCAUUGGGCGUAAAGCGCGUGUAGGCGGCCCGGUAAGUCCGCUGUGAAAGUCCAGGGCUCAACCCUGGAAUGCCGGUGGAUACUGUCGGGCUCGAGUCCGGAAGAGGCGAGUGGAAUUCCUGGUGUAGCGGUGAAAUGCGCAGAUAUCAGGAGGAGCACCAAUGGCGAAGGCAGCUCGCUGGGACGGUACUGACGCUGAGGCACGAAAGCGUGGGGAGCAAACAGG
rnacentral:rRNA from 1 species